CACGUAGGGGGCAAGCGUUGUCCGGAUUUAUUGGGCGUAAAGAGCUCGUAGGCGGCUCAGUAAGUCGGGUGUGAAACCUCCAGGCUCAACCUGGAGACGCCAACCGAUACUGCUGUGGCUUGAGUCAGGUAGGGGAGCGGGGAAUUCCUGGUGUAGCGGUGAAAUGCGCAGAUAUCAGGAGGAACACCAGCGGCGAAGGCGGCGCUCUGGGCCGGAACUGACGCUGAGGAGCGAAAGCGUGGGUAGCAAACAGG
rnacentral:rRNA from 1 species